rnacentral:lncRNA from 1 species
CACAGCAACACAGAAACAUAACAAUUGCAACAUCAAUAGCAGAACAGUUGCAGCAUCCGCAUACCAAAAGAAUCUAUCAUUGAAGAUAGAUGUUGAUAAAAUCAUCCCCUUGAUCUUCAUUUCCAGCCCUUCCUGCUUGCACCAUUUCAUUCUUUUUCCUUGCAUCAUCCUCUUUGGUUAAAGGGGGGGGAGGGGUGGUUGAAAAGGAGGAAGAUUGAUAUAUUUUUAAACUCCUGUGGGCUGUGUUUGCAGUAGCAGAUUUUCUAAUGAUCUGGGAGGUGAUCCUAUUCUGAGCUGCGACUGAGAUGCCACUCUGAAACAUGGGGUGUUGUUGGUUCGUAGUUUCCAGCUUACCACUGGUGGUUUGGAUUGCAUUUUGACUGUGGACUGCAUCCCUAAUCUGCCCUCUCGGCUGAUUGACUUUGUUCGGAUGCUGAGCGUGAUUAUUUCCAUAACGAUUUACCUGGGUCUGGCCUGAUUCUGUCACCUGAGUUUGAAGCCUCUCCACCUCAGUUUCUAGAGUUUCAUCCAGGGCAUUGAAUCUGUUCCCUAACUCUAGGCCAUUAGGGAUUAAGUUCCUGUU